UUUAACCUAACAAUAACUGUUGCGGUCUAAUUUGUUAGUGAGUAAUUCUUUUGUGAAAUUUUGAUUUUUAACGUAUAUUAUUGCGAUUGACUAUAAUACAAAAAAAUAUGGGUGUAAGGGGAAAACGACUUCGUGCUUUGGCUCUUGGUGAAGUGAAAACAGUACCCCCUGAUGAUGGACAUGUCCACUGUGUCCAAAACAUGUAGAGAAUUUUAAACAACUAAAUGUUAAAUAAAUAAGUGGAGGGAGACUGCACGACAGGGACACUACGACUCCACUGCAACACUCUAAGGAUAGCCUAAUAUAGAUCGAGAUGUCAGUAUUAAAAUCUAUAACUUUAGUUAUAUCUGUUAUGCUUGCCUCAUACAUGCAUCAUUCGGGAGCCGAUCUACGGAAAGCAGCAUGUUUCCAUGACUCUCGCGCGCAUCUCAUGAUUCUUAUGCCAAUUGAGCCGUUCAGCGGAAAAGUGGUCUAACUCCCUUAAAGUAGAAAUUUAGAAAAUUGAUAUUUUGCAUCUGGAUGAAUUAAAAAAUCACAGUAACAUAUUCUUUACUUUUUUGUACAUAUUUAUAAUAACCCUUUACUAAAAUUUCAUAUGGUAAACAUUUUUACUGAUUGCGCCCAUUAAUUACAUUUUUGCCGCCCAAUGUCAUUCUUCCAGUAAGUUUUUUUCAAAAACAUAGCGGAAAAGUGGUAUAACUUGGAGAGUUAUAUCACUUUUCCUCGUAAAAGUUAACCAAAUUUCACAAAACUGAUGAACCAAAGAAAAAUAAUAGCUGUAGUAUGUUUACUAUGAUAUCUAUUACUGAUAAAAGUGUUCAAAAAAUAUAGAGCUUGAAGAGCAAAACAUUACUACUACUUAUCUUACAUACUAAACUUACAGUAAGGAGAGUAAGAACAAG